rnacentral:lncRNA from 1 species
UCUGCAUUGACUUCAGGGUCUUUUUGUGGCAGUUCUAACUUGGAAGAGAUCUGAAUUUCCAAUGAAUCAGAGUCGUGAUGCUCCUGUAAUCCUCCUUCAACUGCAGAGUUAUGAUUUACAAUAUCAGAUAUCCCAUUGUUUGAAAUAUCAGAGACAGAAACUGCUUCAUUUGAAUUAUUUGAUAGGUAUGCUAAUUUCUCCAUUUCCAGGAAGUCAUCCAUCAGCUCCAGAUGAUUAGCAUUUUCAGACUUCUGAGAACCAUCAAUGUUCUUUUCCUUCUUGAAAUGAGAGAGCUCAGACACUAAUGCAGUAGCCCAAGACCCA